rnacentral:tRNA from 1 species
GGGAAGUUGGCUCAGUGGUAGAGCACUUGCCUUGCAUGCAUGAGGCCCUGGGUUUCUCA